AUUGAACGCUGGCGGCAUGCUUUACACAUGCAAGUCGAACGGCAGCGCGGGCUUCGGCCUGGCGGCGAGUGGCGAACGGGUGAGUAAUACAUCGGAACGUGCCCAGUAGUGGGGGAUAGCUCGGCGAAAGCCGGAUUAAUAUCGCAUACGACCUGAGGGUGAAAGCGGGGGAUCUUCGGACCUCGCGCUAUUGGAGCGGCCGAUGGCAGAUUAGCUAGUUGGUGGGGUAAAGGCCUACCAAGGCGACGAUCUGUAGCUGGUCUGAGAGGACGACCAGCCACACUGGGACUGAGACACGGCCCAGACUCCUACGGGAGGCAGCAGUGGGGAAUUUUGGACAAUGGGCGAAAGCCUGAUCCAGCAAUGCCGCGUGUGUGAUGAAGGCCUUCGGGUUGUAAGGCACUUUUGGCGGGAACGAAAAGGACUGUGCCAAUACCACGGUUCGAUGACGGUACCCGCAGAAUAAGCACCGGCUAACUACGUG
rnacentral:rRNA from 1 species